CUCGCAGGGGAAGCUGGGUGUGCCGGGGCUUCCUGGGUAUCCAGGACGGCAAGGCUCAAAGGGAUCUCAGGGCUUCCCGGGCUUUCCCGGAGCCAAUGGCGAGAAGGGAUCUCGGGGUGUAUCCGGGAAGCUGGGCCCCCGGGGCGAGCGCGGCCCCUCGGUGA